CGAACAGCUGUUCCCCAUUAAUGGCCAAUCCAAUUCCAACCCAGUUUCAUGAUUUUACCCAAUCAAAACAUUCCAAACAUCAAUUACAAUACGAAAACGACAAGAUUUUACAUAAGAAUUGUUUCUUAUUUGACAGAUAGAUUCCAAUUGCUGGCGCCACCCCCUAAAUCUAUCGUCCGUGCAACCAGCUCAUUCCGCACGGAUGACUAUACAUCUUCACCUUCCAGCCUGUUCUAUUCCACCAUACGUAUAUUCUGUAUAUAUAUAUACGCCCUUUUGACCCCCUAGUGAACCUCUUGAUUUCUUGUUUCACUGUUGAGGGUUUUGCACGGAAAGGCAAAUGGAUCCGUGUCCUUUCGUUCGGAUUGUUGUGGGGAAUCUGGGGUUGAAGUUUAUGGGCUCGUCGGUUUCGCAAUCUUGUUAUUGUAAGUUUAAGCUUAGAGGGUUUAAUACUCAGUAUUCGAAUGUCCCUUUGCUUGUUCAAGAAAGUGAUGCGAUUGAGAGCAGGAACCAUGCUUGUUUCAACUUGAGCAAGACGGAGCUUGAAAAACUAGUGGAAAAAUCGAGUUCUAAUGGGAAAUUUCCCAGUUUGAAGAUCGAGAUUUAUGGGGGGAAUCGGGUGAAAAAUUGUGGGUUCGUGAAAAAUGGGAAGCUUUUGGGUUGUAUUGUUUGCCAGUUGAAUUUGAAAGGGGUUUUGGAAAGUGGGAGUAAUAGAGGGUUAUUGAUUCAAAAUGGAUGGGUUUUGAUUAAUGGGUCUGAAGCAAAAUUACAUUUAAAUGUGAAAGCAGAACCUGAUCCAAGAUUUGUAUUCCAGUUUGAUGGAGAACCAGAGUGUAGUCCUCAAGUUUUUCAGGUCAAAGGAAAUGUUAAGCAGCCUGUUUUUACUUGCAAAUUCAGUUUCAGAAGUUCUGGAGAGAGGAAUUUGAGAUCCAGGUAAUUAUUCUAAUUUUUUUCUUGUCAGUUUUAAUAAUUUGAAUUCUUGGAAUUGAUUACUUUAAUGAGAUUUUCCUUACUGUUUAUUAGUUGAUGUAUUUAAAAAAAAAAAAAAUUAUAUUUAGGGUUCUUUAGAAUUUUAAUUUUGAAUCUGAAAUCAAAAAAAUAAUUUUGACAUUUGGUUUUAGAUUCUUGUAUUAUGAUUAAGAGACGCGGUAGAUGACAAGGAAUAGAUCAAGAGUAAUAUGUUGUAGUUGAUAAGGAUUUAUUUUAAAUUAAUAGUCAUUAGAUAUAUCAAUGUAUUGAACGAAUUGAAAGGAAAGGAUUCAUGUAGUGGACCUAAAACUUGUUGGGAUUAAGGCCUUCUUGAUUAACAAUCAGUAAAGGAUCAUCCAAGUACGUAAAUUAUUCUGUUUGCUAUCUCUGAUCUUAAUCACAUGGUUCAAGAAUUGGAUUAGUGGUUAAUUUAUCAUAGUAUGGCAUCAUUUUCUUGUUUACAGAUUGUUCCGUAUGAUUCGAUGUUAUUUAGCAGCUGUUUAAUUAAUAUAAGCUGCAUUUUUUGUAACAGGUCAUCCCUAUCAGAACCAAGCACAUCAACAAGCUGCUUUAGUUCAUCUACAGCAGAUGAACAAUCCACAAAAGAGCGAAAGGGAUGGUCGAUCACUAUUCACGACCUCUCAGGCUCACCCGUGGCUGCUGCAUCAAUGGUGACGCCAUUUGUGCCAUCACAGGGCAGCAAUAGGGUCAGCAGAUCAAAUCCUGGAGCUUGGCUAAUUCUUCGUCCUGGCCACAACACCUGGACACCCUGGGGCCGUCUGGAGGCCUGGUGUGAACGCAAAAGUGGUGACCAACUCGGCUACCGCUUUGAACUCAUCCCCGAUGGCGGCAUAGACUCAAUCCCACUUGCCAAUUCCACAAUUAGCACGAAAACUGGAGGCAAAUUCAGUAUAGACGUAACCACAGGCCCGACCCCAAUGACCAGUCCUAAUAGCAGCUUUGACAUCAGUUCUGCGUCUAGUUCUGGUUCGGAACUUGGAUCUACACAGGGGUCCAGUUCGUGGGCACACCUCUUGUAUAAAGGAUUUGUAAUGUCAUGCACGGUCAAAGGCAACGGGAAGUGCAGCAAACCAGCAGUUGAAAUCGGGGCGCAGCACGUGAGUUGCACAGAGGAUGCUGCAGGUUUUGUGGCGUUGGCAGCUGCAAUGGAUUUAAGCAUGGAUGCUUGUAGAUUGUUUUCUCAUAAGCUAAGGAAGGAAUUGAGGCAACCAGAUCAAGAAUAAUACCCCAUGGGAACUGUCUUAAACCCUUGUAUUUGCAUUGAACUAACAGCAUGCAGAAGCUGUUUUUUUCCCCUCCCAGAGUGUACAGUAGUAACAAGUGUUUGUUUUUUCUUUUUCAUGUAUUUGACUAUUGUCCAUUGAUUUGCUUAUUGAUUGAGAGUUUUUCUAUCAAGUUCUUGUUUCCUUCUCAAACCAGUUUAGUUGUACCCAGGACUCCAUUCAGCUAAUCGUUACUCAAAGUUCCAUCCUUGCUAAGGCGAGCUACGUAGCACGUAGAAUCACUAAGCACUCAGUUAUAAAAAGAACUAUGAUCUGUGUCUCGUGUAUGCUCGAUUUGAUACCAUGAUACAGUGUCUAAUUUUAACUCAACUAGAAAAUUCGUUUACAAUGUUAAGUUUAUUUUCACCUUAUACGCUACGUAUCUCAUCUUAGUUGC
rnacentral:lncRNA from 1 species